rnacentral:lncRNA from 1 species
CAAUUAUCAGAAAUGUGACGAAAACAAUUUAAAUAAAUAAAAUUUGUCCCCGUCCUUGAAACUUGUGUAUAUAUAUAACUUUUAUACCCCUUAACCACUCCUCGUUGUACCCCUUCCCCUAAAAAAAUUCCUCUUAUUUUAGUCCUUCUCCCUCAAGUUUUCUUAUUACAACCUAAAAUGGGUCGAAAAAACCAAGUAUUUUUAUUGUUCUUGAUUAUACUUGCUUCUGUAGUGUCCUCUACUCAUGGCAGAAGGCUCUUAAACGUGCAACACAAUACAACUAAGAAGACUCUAUUUUUGGACGAAAGUUCUUAUUUGAAUGCCCUUCCCAAUGGUACAAUGCCACCUUCUACACCGAGCAAAAAUGGCAAUUCCGAGACUGUCGACGACAAGCUGGUUGAGUGCAACCUCGUGGCGGUCAACCGCAUUCUCGAGUCGGUUCCUAGCCCUGGAGUGGGACACUAGUCUCGUCACAGAUUCUUUAUUUUCUACAAUCACAAAAUUUGGUAUUCUUUUAUUGCUGGUUAUAGACGCGCUGUAAUCUAUUUUUAUUCUUUUAUUUAUGGGAUUAAAUCAUGAAAGUCGAAUCCCAGCAGAUUGAUAGGUCUUCCAAACGAUUAUUGAAUGAAUAUGUAUGAGUUUGUAUCUAAUCGGCCAAUAAAAAUUAUUACUUUUCUGG